ensembl:lncRNA
UCUGUUGCUUGUUCUGAUUUAUAUAUACUGGUUCUCGAGGCAUAACUCCUUUUCCUACUUUAAUCCUUUUCCACAUUCUAUCUGCAUGCAUUAAUAAUUUUCCAAGGCAUUGCUAUUCCUAUUAUUUUACCAAAUAAAUCUUUUCAUUCCUCAUGUUUGUAUCUCAAACCUAAGUCCUAACAGAUAUUUCUCUUCCCACCAUUGUCCUUACUACUGAGGAUGUGAUAAAUGAGUCAGUCGUAUCAAACAAUAAUAUUUUAAACAAAUCCCAAGAAUUCAACAUAUAAACUUUUAAAAUAAAUAGCAAAAGAAAAUAUGAAUUAUUAUGAAUAAAUAAUGAAAUGAAAUCACGCCAUAUGUCUUUUAAAGAAAUGGGGUAAAAUUUUCUCAGUUUUUCAAAGCUAUUAAGCACAUGCAUAUCCCAAUUAAAUGUAAAAUCCUUAAACUUGUAACUCCAGAUCCACAUUUACAAGUUCCAAUUACAUGGACUUGCAUUUAAGCGGGGUGCUUCAGCUCUGGAUUAGAAUAUCCUGGGUCAUUGUUCAAGGUACUUUGCACUAAGUUUGUAUGGACUAAGAUAGCAGAUAAAAUUGCAGAAUUCUUCCAUUUUUCCAAAAGAAACAUUUCUUUUCAAGGUGAAAGACUGUAAAUGUGUACAUAAAUUAAAACAGCAGUCCCUUUCUUAAGAGCUUACUUUUAGCAAGCAGCGUAUCCUGGUUAGAAUCAUAGAAUCAUAGAAUAGCCUGUGUUGAAAAGGACCACAAUGAUCAUUGAGUUUUAACCCCUGUGCUACAUACAGGGUUGCCAACCACUAGACCAGGCUGCCCAGAGCCACAUCCAGCCUGGCCUUGAAUGCAUCCAGGGUUGGGGCAUCCACAAGCUCCUUGGACAACCUGUUCCAGUGUGUUACCACUCUCUGUAAGAUAAACUGAUGCACUUGAAGAAGACGACGUGUCUAUGUCACGUGCCAUAGACCAGUAACUUUUAUGAGAAGUCUCCUCAGUAUUUCUCUGCCCUUUCUGACAAAUCAUUCAGACAUUUUUACUCCCUGGGCCACCUAAUACUUGACUUCUUGGCUAAUAUAAAGAGCUUAGUAGCAAGUAGAUGCCAAACAUGUAUGUUGUCUCUGUGAAACUUCUUGUGAGAGUGUAUAACUUAAACCAAAUCUUAUGAUUCAAGUCUAUAUAAUUUUCUCUGUAACUGUAAUCAAGUUUUCAUGUGAAAAUUGACUACAUUUUUAAUAAAUUAAUUUACAUACUUAUGAUUCUUAUAC